UGGGGAAUUUUGGACAAUGGGCGAAAGCCUGAUCCAGCAAUGCCGCGUGUGUGAAGAAGGCCUUCGGGUUGUAAAGCACUUUUGUCCGGAAAGAAAUCCUUGGCUCUAAUACAGUCGGGGGAUGACGGUACCGGAAGAAUAAGCACCGGCUAACUACGUGCCAGCAGCCGCGGUAAUACGUAGGGUGCAAGCGUUAAUCGGAAUUACUGGGCGUAAAGCGUGCGCAGGCGGUUUGCUAAGACCGAUGUGAAAUCCCCGGGCUCAACCUGGGAACUGCAUUGGUGACUGGCAGGCUAGAGUAUGGCAGAGGGGGGUAGAAUUCCACGUGUAGCAGUGAAAUGCGUAGAGAUGUGGAGGAAUACCGAUGGCGAAGGCAGCCCCCUGGGCCAAUACUGACGCUCAUGCACGAAAGCGUGGGGAGCAAACAGGAUUAGAUACCCUGGUAGUCCACGCCCUAAACGAUGUCAACUAGUUGUGGGGAUUCAUUCCUUAGUAACGUAGCUAACGCGUGAAGUUGACCGCCUGGGGAGUACGGUCGCAAGAUUAAAACUCAAUGAAUUGACGGGUCAUAGCUGUUCCU
rnacentral:rRNA from 1 species